rnacentral:rRNA from 1 species
UACGGAGGGAGCUAGCGUUGUUCGGAAUUACUGGGCGUAAAGCGCGCGUAGGCGGCUAUUCAAGUCAGAGGUGAAAGCCCGGGGCUCAACCCCGGAACUGCCUUUGAAACUAGGUAGCUAGAAUCUUGGAGAGGCGAGUGGAAUUCCGAGUGUAGAGGUGAAAUUCGUAGAUAUUCGGAAGAACACCAGUGGCGAAGGCGACUCGCUGGACAAGUAUUGACGCUGAGGUGCGAAAGCGUGGGGAGCAAAAGGG